GGCCUCGUGGCCUAGAAGUAAGGCGUUGGUUUCCGGCGCCAAAGAUCGCGGGUGCAAAUCCCGUCGGGGUCG
rnacentral:tRNA from 1 species